UUCUAUUAGUACUCCUAAAAACCAGGAUGAACCUAUGGAUAUAGCUUUUGUUCGUGGGCCUCUUAAGCCAGAGGAAAAGACUAGACGCCGGUUAAACAACUUGUGCCUUUAUUGUGCCUCCAAGGACCACACCGUAAAGGAAUGCCCAACCCUGCAAAAGUCAAGAAAGGUGGGAUCAUCAGGUGGUAUCCGCGGUAGCGGUGAUUGAUUCAGGAGCCACAAACAGCUUUAUAGAUUCCACUUUUGUGCACUUGUAUAAUAUUCCACUAAUAAAGAAAACUGUUUCACUCGCAA